rnacentral:lncRNA from 1 species
UCAAACACAUAAGAGAGGGAAAAGGCAGUGGGAUCACUAUGAGUAUAGGCAAUUAAGCCUUGGUUCUAGAUUAGAAGUGGCAAUGAGAUGCCAUUCUCAUCCAAAACAAACUCAUAAGCAAACAAGAGUAAAUGGGAAGGGGAAAUCACAUAGGAUUUGACAGACAAAAUUAAGUUGAAAAGACUAGGAGGAAAUAAGACAUAGUGAC